rnacentral:rRNA from 1 species
UACGUAGGGUGCGAGCGUUGUCCGGAAUUAUUGGGCGUAAAGAGCUCGUAGGCGGUGUGUCACGUCGUCCGUGAAAACCUGCAGCUUAACUGUGGGCGUGCGGUCGAUACGGGCAUCACUGGAGUUCGGCAGGGGAGACUGGAAUUCCUGGUGUAGCGGUGAAAUGCGCAGAUAUCAGGAGGAACACCGGUGGCGAAGGCGGGUCCCUGGGCCGAUACUGACGCUGAGGAGCGAAAGCGUGGGGAGCAAACAGG